rnacentral:lncRNA from 1 species
AUGCCAUACGGAGCAAUCUCCAUGUCCAUCCUCACUGAUAAAUGCCAUGCCUCUAACUUUGCACCAAAUGCCUUGUACCCUGUCUUCCAGUCUUGUCUUGCUAAUGGACUUCAAUACCAUGCCUAUAUUGAAAGUCAAUCUCAACCUGUAUCCUUUCCAUCACAACCUACAUAUAGAAAAAAAAUAGCACAUCCGCACAUCAGUUACAGGACAUGCACUUUGAGCUAG